rnacentral:rRNA from 1 species
UGGGGAAUUUUGCGCAAUGGGCGAAAGCCUGACGCAGCAAUCCCGCGUGAAGGAUGACGCAUUACGGUGUGUAAACUUCUUUUUUGGUGGAAGACGAAUGACGGUACACCAAGAAUAAGGGACGGCUAACUACGUGCCAGCAGCCGCGGUAAUACGUAGGUCCCAAGUGUUAUCCGGAAUUACUGGGCGUAAAGCGUCUGUAGCUGGAUAAAUAAGUCUAUUUUUAAAUCCUGUGGCUUAACCAUAGAAAGGGAAUAGAUACUGUUUAUCUGGAGAUUAUUGGGGGUUAGUGGAAUUUCCGGUGGAGCGGUGAAAUGCGUUGAUAUCGGAAAGAACGCCGAAAGCGAAAGCAGCUAACUACGGUAAAUCUGACAGUGAAAGACGAAAGUUUGGGUAGCAAACGGG